CAGUCAAUGUGUUGUAAGUCGCUCUGGAUAAGAGCGUCUGCUAAAUGACUAAAA
rfam:Salmo salar isolate Sally breed double haploid chromosome ssa11, whole genome shotgun sequence.